UACGGAGGGAGCUAGCGUUAUUCGGAAUUACUGGGCGUAAAGCGCACGUAGGCGGCUUUGUAAGUAAGAGGUGAAAGCCCCGGGCUCAACCCGGGAAGUGCACUUGAAACUGCAAGGCUAGAGUACUGGAGAGGUUGGUGGAAUUCUCGGUGUAGAGGUGAAAUUCGGUAGAUAUCGAGAGGAACACCGGUGGCGAAGGCGGCCAACUGGACAGAUACUGACGCUGAGACUCGAAAGCGUGGGGAGCAAACAGG
rnacentral:rRNA from 1 species